GUCAAAUCUUAUGAAGGAUUAAAACAUAAAGUUUGCAUUAAAGGUCAAAACAGUCACAAGCCUGCUCAAAUUCGGAAAGAGGGGACGGAAAUGGAACCUCUUCAUGGGAGGAAGAAUUGGAAAAAUGAAUGUAAUUUGACAUAUGUCUUGAGUCUGGUUGGCUUCUGAGGAACUUGUGUGCAUCUCAUCAGUAUGCAUCUUAAGAACUGAAAUGACCCUACUUCAGCAUUGUGAGAAGACAUGCAUUCUCUUCGUAUAAAUAAUGUGGAUCUUACAUGUAAAGUAUUAUAAAGAUUAGCUGUUUAACAACUUAAAUAAGCUUGUGAAUAAUAAAUUAAUAACAAUGUUAUGCUAAUACGUAACUAUGAUAUUUGCUGAACAAAAUAAAUUUGCCUACUUUGGAAGCAGAUUGGGUGGUUUAAUAUAUCAGCAAAAGAGUGUUUUUAAAAAAUAUCAAAGUUCUGUUAAUCAAAACGUUUAUUGUAGGACAGUUAGUAAUGUUUUGUUUGCCAACUUAUAUUACAAAGUCUCUGUCUUAAGUGUUUCCUUGCAAAUAAAAUGACAAUACUGCCUUACAUUUUAUUACUUUAGAGUUUGCAAAAUAUCUUCAUUAUAAUAUUUCAUUUAGUAGACAUGCCUAUGGGAACAUUACUUCCAGAAUUAAAAACAUUAUUUUUGUUUUGGUAUAUUUUUAAACUACAAAUGAUAGAAAGGCAAGUAAAUGUAAGUUUUUCUCUAGUUAUUUGUUCAAAUGCUAAUUUAAAACAUUUGUACAUUUCUAAUACAAACAUUCCUUAUUUGAGAAAAAAUGGAUUUCUUAAAAACAAAAUGCAUUUUAAAGCAGAGAGACAGGGCAUUGAGCUGAAAAUGGUGGCUGGAAGUUGGGAUCUGUAAGAGAAGUUGAAUGUGCCCCGAGGCAUAAAGCUGCUAAUUUUGUUUUAUUGGAUUUUACUGUAGCUAUUAAUAUAUUUUGCUGGAGAUUUAUGUGAUCAAUUUAUCUUAUGGCCAGAACUAAU
rnacentral:lncRNA from 1 species